AAUCCCCAAACUACAUCGGUAGCUGUAGUUCUCACUUAGUUCGAAGAAAUCCCCAAACUACAUCGGUAGCUGUAGUUCUCACUUAUAGUUUGAAGAAAUCCCCAAACUACAUCGGUAGCUGUAGUUCUCACUUAGUUCGAAGAAAUCCCCAAACUACAUUGGCAGCUGUAGUUCUCACUUAGAUUGAAGAUUCUACUUUAUAUUCCAGGUUUUCAGGGCCUUUUCAUGUACACCCUAAAACCUUCCUCGUGGACCAGGUGUUCUGCGGUAUCACACAAGCGUGGUGAACUCUCUUCACGAAAUACACUAUUUCCUGAAUCAGGAACUUGCUCGUCUGGUUUGUCUGGCCUAGGACGUGGCAUUUUUCAAAACGAUGCUUAUCUUGCCUAGAAUAGCCUUAGGUCGUAAGCAUCGUGUGAAACAGUGUUUGGAAAUUUUGUAAUCUACAAAACUGUCCUUUCUCUUUCUAUGAACAAUAUCGAGUGAACUCACUACGGGUUUAUUUAAAAGAUAAGUAUGAUUCCAAUGUUACCUAAUUUUUAUUUUAUAAUCCUAGCUUUAAUUAUUUUCAUAUUAGAAUACUUGUACUAAAGAUCGUGUAAGUGUACUCAAGAAUUGUAAUAUAUGUUUAAAAAUCAUAAGUAUAAAUUGCAUUUAUUUUAAUAAGAAGUAUAUUGCAUAUUGGAAAGGUGCUUAAUACAGACCCAUAAAGUUCAGAGGUAAAGUUUAAAGUUUAACAUCAGGUCAUCAGGUGCGUUUCAAGCAUUUAUUGUCUUGUCACGAUAAGCAUGCAAGGGAUAUCGAGUUGAGUUUAAUCAAACUUGUGAUGACGUAAGAUGGCGCCAAAAUUUACGUUACGUAAGAACUUGUAGAAUAAUAAAUGCUAACGUAUAUGAGGAAUUUCUUUUAUUACUGUUGUGGUUAAGAUGUAGAAAGCCGAAAAGGUAUAUUUGUUAUAUUAUUGUUAUUUACACGAAGAUCUAAAACGCUAAUGACAAACAAAAUAAUUGAAAAACACUUUCGGGGACUAAUCUUACACAAUACAGUGGUGCCUCAAAAACAUCUAGUUACGAUGUAUUUGAUCUAGUGAUAAAACAAUGCUAAAGUUAUCUUAAACUAUCUCGCUAAGGUUGAUAACAAGUUGAUUAGUUUUAAGUCAGUUGUAAAUGUUUUAGCCCAACUUUUUUUUCUCGAGACGAAAAUUACUUUUUUUUACUUCGAUUUACGAACUGACGAAAACUUUUUCUUGAGAUCAUAACUGCCGGGGUUGUAUUUAGCCAAUAGGGGUUACUAACGGACUGGAUAUUUUUUUGACAAAAUAUAAAAAAGCUGACACACCAGCACCCAACAUUCUUUGUUUAUGUGCUCUUCAAAUAUUACACGAAUAAUAUAUAAAGUUACUUAAAGAAAAUGAAUGACUUCAGUUAGAUCUGACCAUAAAUCUAACAUAUUUGUUUGAAAGGGAAGCGCAAACAGGAUUUAAUAAGUCGUUCUGUGAUUUAAAAACCACAAAUCGUAAAUUAACAUGUAGAAUUCUAGAUGUGUGGGUUCUUCAGAGCUUCUCUAUUUAUUACAGUGAGGGCCAGUACUAACCAGUAUCCGGAUACUCUUUAAGACUGGAAAGCAAUAUUAAUUAUCUGUACCAAAUAUAGCAGUCUGUGUAUACAUUUAAAUACUAAGGUAUUUGUAACACAGAUAUAAAGAAACAUAAUGGGAAGAAUUGGGCCACAACCAGGUAAUAUAAACAGUAACAUACUUUUCAUCAUUCCUCUUUAUCGUUAAAAAAUCUUACAUUAUUAGUGAAAUACUCGUGAAAUUUCACGGGAAACAACAAAUUCAUGGGAGCCAAACUUGGGAGUUCCCCAAACUCCCGUGACCUUAUAUUAGGGGGUUUAGUAUUAAAAUUUCAAAAAUCUAAACUCAGAGACUUAUUUUGAAAGAUAGCUUACAUGACAGGACCAUGCCACUUUUAAAGUGAUAUAUAUAGUCCUGAGGGCCCCCUAAAAUUUUUUGACUCCCACAUCUUGCUCAUAUUUGAAAGAGAUCAUAUCAUUGGCUUGAUCAGCUCCUUGUACGUUAGUACCAAUUUUUAAGUACAUAAGUUCAGUCAAACGGGGACCCCUCAAACCCUUUACCUCCAAUUUUUGGGACACUCCUCCCUCAUGAUUAUAUAAUAUUUUCGUUUUCGUUUAUAGUCUGUGCGAAUCAAUAACCUACAUACCAAACUUUAAGCCAAAUGUUUUGGGUCUAUUUCAAAAAUCGAGCAAACAUGAAUAUAUGCAUAAGUACUAUUGAGAAUUACUAUUUACACAUUCAAAGUUUUGGAGACAAAUGAUAAUGGGAAAUGUGCUACUAAUAUAUCAUACACACAUAUAUCUGAAAAAAACAAACUAUUUUGCGUAAUAAAUUCACGAUUCAGUGAAUUAAAAACGUGGGACAAAGCUAAUCAUGGAAGAAACCAUGUAUUUAACCGAAACUAUCACUAAAAGUCCCCUUCGAUGUGACUACCUAGCUGGAUUAAUGGUCCAUAAAUUUCAUCUCAACAAGAUAUGUGGUAUUUAAAACACUGGUGAGUCUCUUAAACAUUCUGAGUUCUGGCAAGAUGUUUUGCUGUGUAUAUUUUGCAAACACUCUUGAAGGAAAAUCAAUAGUAUAAAAUGUUUGUUGUAUCUAUACAAACAUAAUUAUAAUCUGGACCAAGCUAACCCUACAACAUCCAGUCAGAUGUCAUUUCUAAGUAAAAAAUAAAACUAGAAAUAAUAAGAAGUAGAAAGACUUGUUGAGUGUAAAAACAGUGUAUGAAAAACGAAAAGAAAAACACAUUACACAUUUUAUAGCUUACCUUUACAUUCACCAUAAAGAAUUAUUGAAAAACAAACAAACAAUUGUUACAGUCAGUCAACAUCUUAGGAUAAUCAGUAAAAAUAUAAAAAAAUGACAUUCUGUUCUACUCAUUCAGUAUUGUGCCAAAAUGAUAUGUCUCUAAGGUAUAAGUAUUACCAAACAACUAUUGUACCAGAAAAAUGUAAACAUGUAUAUACAUUAUGGUAAAAGCCACUCUAUCCAACAUUAUACAACUACAAACAUGUGACUCGUGAUCACUUCAAUUCACAUCACACGCUGAAAAGGAAAACAAAAACAAAAAAAUGAGAUGGCGAGUUGUGAGGAUAAACAUCUGUCCCGAACACAGGGCACUAACAAUCAGCUCAAUUAUCUCUGUUGAAGAGUCUUGUGAUCCAACAAACGCAGGUGUUGUUGUCAUGCGUGAAGUUUAUCAGCGUAUCUUUAAAUUCUUCUUAAGUAACAGCUGCGUGGUAAUUCCUCACAAGAAUGUCCAGGUGGCGCUAUUCAUAACACGUUAAAAACAAACUUUGUCUGCUAAGUUACCGAGGUUUAAAACUGACGAAUAAAAAAAUUACUAAUUACAACCUUGCACAAAAAAAUAUAUUUGUUUAAGGUUCUCGACACUGUAGAAGAGAAAAAUAAUGUAAUAAUCAUGAGUAUUUUCUACCAUAUAACUAUAAUUUUAAAUCAAGUUUCUGAAAUUUGAGCCUAUAAACACUUUAAGAGCACAAAAAUAAUGACACGCCCUUAAGCUAGGGAGCCAUUUGCAGAGUCUACCGAUGGUUCAGCAGUAAGUCUGAGAGCUUAUAACACUAAAAAUAGAACAUAUAGCCCAUUGUGUAACUUUGUGCUUAACAUACAAACAAAUAAAACCUUUCCAGAGUAAAGAUACGUUCAUUUUUAAAGGUAGAGACAGCAAAAUCAUAAAUAUAUUUUAGGUAAGCAACCUUUUGUUCAAUAUUACAAAAAUAUAUUGGACAGUUAUUUCCAACCUUAUGAGCUCCAGUAUUCUGUGUUCUUCGUAAAACAUUUAUUACUAUAUUAUAGUUUUUAUUUAACAUUUUUGGACUUCACAUAGAGACGGUCUUUAAAGGCAAUAUUAAGUCAAAAAAUAUAGUAUCUACAGUAAAGACACACGAAUAACCAAAUUCAUAAACAGGUGAUAAUAACGUACACAUGUCUAAUUAUAUGUACAUGAGUGACGAUUGAUGUCAGAAAAAGAGGCUAUUGAGGCAUUCAGUAGCAGUACUGAAGAGGUGAUUUUUAACCUCUCCCUCCAAAACAAAUUCAACUCGUUGAUUGUAUCCCAUUAUAACAUAACAUUACAACAUAAAUGUAGUCGCUCUAUAAGGUUUACCAGGUAAAAAAACGCACGUGCUUUUCCAAACAACUUAUCAUAAGUUUUGUUAAAGAACGUUUAGUAUUUUCUGGUGGAGUUACAUGCAUGUUAAAUUAACGAUGGUUUGUAUAAACAAACUGCUGUUGAAACGACAGAGAUAUAAUGUGUUAAGUUAUCCACGAACGUUUGUUUUUUCAGGUCCUGAGACUUGAAGCAAAUUUAAGAAGUGGUCGUGCCCAGUAUAUUCCAAGUAAACUUUGACCUUCUUCACGAAAGAAACGAAAAAAAAAAAGAAGAUAUAUGUGAGCAACUUUAAACAGCACGUGAAUAAUUAAAAAUACCCAACUAUGAACGAGCAAACCAUUCAUGUGCUUGUGAAAACAGAAAAGGCCUAUGAACGACAGGACUUGAAAACAGUUGUUCGAGAAGACGACAGUGAAGCUGUUUUAGUUACUGGAGGCUUCGAAGAUUUCAAGGCCUGGUUAGUAUGGUUAGUGUGUCUGUUAAGAGGUUCUGGAACAAAUAAAACAUUGCAUUUUGAAUUUUA